rnacentral:sRNA from 1 species
UUGGCAGUCUGACAAUUGAAAGCCUCUGUUUAUUUGUGGAACAGGUACAGCACAGGCAGCUGCAGGUUAAACAGCCCUGCACUUCUGCAGCAAUGUGUUUCACCUGGGACUGGAGAUCCAUCCUAUAGGAGAGUGCAGCAGUUCAGUUUCCAUACCUAUUCAUUCCCUGGCCUCU